GAGGUAAUAUGGUACCUGACCAGCCUCUCGAAGCACUUCACCAUUAUGGGAGUGAGUGCUACAGGGCGGUAAUCGUUGAGACAUUGUAUGUUGAAUUUU